UACGGAGGGUGCAAGCGUUGUUCGGAAUUACUGGGCGUAAAGGGCGCGUAGGCGGCUCGGCACGUCCGUUGUGAAAUCGCCCGGCUCAACUGGGCGGGGUCAGCGGAUACGGCCGAGCUGGAGCAAGCUAGGGGGUAAUGGAAUUCCCGGUGUAGUGGUGGAAUGCGUAGAUAUCGGGAGGAACACCAGUGGCGAAGGCGGUUACCUGGAGCUUUGCUGACGCUGAUGCGCGAAAGCGUGGGGAGCGAACAGG
rnacentral:rRNA from 1 species